CACUUAUCCAGAGUGGCGGAGGGACUGGCCCUUUGAUGCCCAGCAACCGGCUCCAUAUGAGCACGGUGCUAAUUCCUGCAAAGCGAUUAUCGCUUUGAUAGAUGAGAA
rfam:Halobacillus mangrovi strain KTB 131, complete genome.